GACGAACCCUGGCGGCGUGCUUAACACAUGCAAGUCGAACGGAAAGGCCCUGCUUUUGUGGGGUGCUCGAGUGGCGAACGGGUGAGUAACACGUGAGUAACCUGCCCUUGACUUUGGGAUAACUUCAGGAAACUGGGGCUAAUACCGGAUAGGAGCUCCUGCUGCAUGGUGGGGGUUGGAAAGUUUCGGCGGUUGGGGAUGGACUCGCGGCUCAUCAGCUUGUUGGUGGGGUAGUGGCUUACCAAGGCUUUGAAGGGUAGCCGGCCUGAGAGGGUGACCGGCCACAUUGGGACUGAGAUACGGCCCAGACUCCUACGGGAGGCAGCAGUGGGGAAUAUUGCACAAUGGGCGGAAGCCUGAUGCAGCAACGCCGCGUGCGGUAUGACGGCCUUCGGGUUGUAAACCGCUUUCGCCUGUGACGAAGCGUGAGUGACGGUAAUGGGUAAAGAAGCACCGGCUAACUACGUG
rnacentral:rRNA from 1 species